UGCCAGCCGCCGCGGUAAUACGGAGGGUGCAAGCGUUGUCCGGAAUCACUGGGUGUAAAGGGUGUGUAGGCGGGAUUGUAAGUCAGAGGUGAAAUCCUACAGCUCAACUGUAGAACUGCCUUUGAUACUGCAAUUCUUGAGUUUCGGAGAGGUCAUUAGAAUUCGUGGUGUAGCGGCGAAAUGCGUAGAUAUCACGAGGAAUACCAGAGGCGUAGGCGGAUGACUGGACGAAUACUGACGCUGAGGCACGAAAGCGUGGGGAGCAAACAGGAUUAGAUA
rnacentral:rRNA from 1 species